UCAUUUCUCAUGGUUGUUUUUUGUCUUGGCAGUUGGCUUUGCCUGGGUACCUUUGCUGAAGGAUGGUAGAAUCAUCACAUUUGAGCAGCAGCUGCCAGUUUCCGCUAAUCUUCCUCCAGGCUACUUGAAUCUGAAUGAUGCCGAAUCAAGAAGGCAGUCUAAUGUGGAUAUUAAGUGGGUAGAUGGUGCAAAGCCUUUGUUGAAGAUUAAAAGUCACUUGGAGUCUACCAUUUAUACUCAAGAUCUACAUGUGCACAAAUUCUUCCAUCAUUGCCAGCUGAUUCAGUCAGGCUCAAAAGAAGUUCCAGGGGAGCUCAUUAAAUAUUUAAAGGUAAAUGAACAGUAGCUUUC